UCAACACAACGCGGGAGCUCGCGCCUGAGCGGGCUGAGAGGGUGACUGGCAGUAGUGCCGGCGUCACCGACCGCCUGAACCUGACCGGGUAAUGCCGGCGUAGGGAGGAAUGUCGUGACGGCACU
rfam:Lentzea albidocapillata strain DSM 44073 genome assembly, contig: LX89DRAFT_scaffold00015.15